UCGCUUAGACUCCUAAAUGCAGUUCUUCUCUCUCGAGACCACCUUGGAUUGGAGAACACCCAAAUGAGCAGGAUUGCUUUUGCUUUCAAAAGGGUGAUACCUGGAGCACAGUAGUUCCACUCUGUGUAACAAUGAUGCAAAGCAGGCGGAGAGCUGACCUAGGGCUUUCAAGUGGGGCAGAGCUGUACCCAAAGGGUUCUCAUUAUGGAGCAGCGAGGGAAUGGUGGCAGCGUGGGCAGAUAAAAUCUCAAUAGAAACCCAGUCCUACUGGCUAGAGUAACUAAGAAAAGGGGCUCUAGGGGGAUGGAGAGUGAGGAGAGAAUACCAGAGUGGAGAGAACUGGAGAAAAAAUUCCCAAUUCUGUAUAUGAAUCUGCACAAGUCUCAGGCUCAUUCUCAAAGAAAAAGAGGAGUAAUAGAUGCAACUAGCAUAGUACAGGUUUUGACAACCAAACUGAGGUUUGAACCACUGCCCACAGAUGGCAAGAUAGAACUUGCAGUCUAAGCCUAAACAGUUCAUUGCCAUAAAACAAGAAUAUCAACAUUCUCCAGAGGAUUAUAAUAGGAUCCAGUGCCUAUAAAAUGUAAAUCCACAAUGCCCAGAUACCAUUCCAAAGUUAUAUGACAUAUAAAAAAACAGAAAAAUGUGUUCACAUUUUUACCCCAGUGGAAAAGAUAAUCAACAUAUGACCAGAUCAAGGUGACCCAGAUGUUGGAAUCAUCAGACACAGGCUUUAAAAUAGCUAUUAUAGCUGCAUACCAUGGAGUAAGGAAUCCAUCCUUGAAAUGUAUGAGAAGAUAGAAGUGGAUAUCUUAAAACUGCAAAAGAAUAAAAUGAAAAAUUUAGAACUGAAAAAUGCAGUAUCUGAAAACUGGAUGGGCUGAAUAGCAAAAUGAAAAUAUAGAAGAAACACCCCAGUGAACUUAAGAAUAGAUCAAUAGAAGUUAUCCAAUCUGAAGAACAGAGAAAAAAUAUUGAAAAAGAGGAACAGAACCUUA